rnacentral:rRNA from 1 species
AUUGAACGCUGGCGGCAUGCCUUACACAUGCAAGUCGAACGGCAGCACGGGAGCAAUCCUGGUGGCGAGUGGCGAACGGGUGAGUAAUAUAUCGGAACGUGCCCAGUCGUGGGGGAUCACGUAGCGAAAGCUACGCUAAUACCGCAUACGAUCUAUGGAUGAAAGCGGGGGAUCGCAAGACCUCGCGCGAUUGGAGCGGCCGAUAUCAGAUUAGGUAGUUGGUGGGGUAAAGGCUCACCAAGCCGACGAUCUGUAGCUGGUCUGAGAGGACGACCAGCCACACUGGGACUGAGACACGGCCCAGACUCCUACGGGAGGCAGCAGUGGGGAAUUUUGGACAAUGGGCGCAAGCCUGAUCCAGCAAUGCCGCGUGCAGGAUGAAGGCCUUCGGGUUGUAAACUGCUUUUGUACGGAGCGAAAAGGCUCUCUCUAAUACAGGGGGCUCAUGACGGUACCGUAAGAAUAAGCACCGGCUAACUACGUGCCAGCCGCCGCGGUAAUAC